AUGUGCUUCCAUGUCCUCAACAACCAAACCAAACCAACAAAACAGGAGUGGAAAGAGUUCGUCUGGGUAAAAUCAUUUUGUGUGGCCUUUCAGGUUCCGGAGUCAAGAGAAAAAGAAACUAUUCCCUUGUCUCCAUUGCCUUUUUUAUUUCACUUUUCCUUUUCUCUUCUUUUCCCUCCUUUCCGGCACUUCCUCUUUUGCAUCUUCUCUCUUUCCCCCUCCUUUUCCCCAUACCUUCUUCCCUUCCCCCAAUCUGAAGCAGAAAAUUGCCAGAUUAACUUUUUUUUUUUCUCUAGUGGGAAUGACCAUGGAGAUUUCAUUGGAGUGAUAAGUCAUGUCCAUCCAUUGUUUUCUCUUUGUCCAUUCUUCUUCCAAGAAUGUUAAUCUGUGUGCUGUACCAUUUGUAGAAGCUCCAAUAGCCUUGUCAAGAAACGUGUGGGAUCGAUGAGAUGAGUGGUUACAAAGAAUGUUUUGCCUUUGCCUCUGAACUCUACUACUCUUUCCUACAGUAUAUAAACCCUUCCAAAGUUCCAUCUAAUUUCCCUCUGGAAUCUUCUUUACAUUUUUUUGUUGUUGCCAGAUUUGCUAUUGUAUAUAUUUUUAUUUUGCUGUCAGGAUAACGUUAUAGUCUCCAUAGUUAAAAAGAAUUUUUUUUUUAAUCGGACUUUGAAACCCGGAAAGUGACUUCACUAUUCUUCCACAGGUAUGCUUCUACACCUUUCUUAGAUAUUGGAAGAUACCUUCUUACCUUAAAAUUAUUAGCAGUAUUAUUCUCACUGCAGUCCCCUUCAUUUUCUACCUUUCUACCCCCCCCCCCCCCCCCGGCCUGGUGUAGGGAAAGACUCUUUGCUUUUUCCGGUAUCCCCCCCUUAUCUUGAUGCCCUUUGUUAAAAAAAAAAUGGAGGAAAGGAGGGAGACCUGGCUAAAAUCCCGCGGGCAGAACAGGUGGUGGAAGCGCAGCCUCAAGUCAGAUGAUCUCAUCUUGGGUAAACUGGGCGGAUGGUUAGGGUGGGGAGGGGGAAGAGGAGGAGGUGGAGGAAGGGUCCUACAGCACUGGCCAAAAGGUUCUCUUUGCAAAUAAUAAACUAUGUUCCUUCUUUUUCCUGCCCUCCUCA
rnacentral:lncRNA from 1 species